rnacentral:rRNA from 1 species
UACCUUUUGUAUAAUGGGUCAGCGACUUAUAUUCUGUAGCAAGGUUAACCGUAUAGGGGAGCCGGAGGGAAACCGAGUCUUAACCGGGCGUUAAGUUGCAGGGUAUAGACCCGAAACCCGGUGAUCUAGCCAUGGGCAGGUUGAAGGUUGGGUAACACUAACUGGAGGACCGAACCGACUAAUGUUGAAAAAUUAGCGGAUGACCUGUGGCUGGGGGUGAAAGGCCAAUCAAACCGGGAGAUAGCUGGUUCUCCCCGAAAGCUAUUUAGGUAGCGCCUCGUGAAUUCAUCUCCGGGGGUAGAGCACUGUUUCGGCUAGGGGGCCAUCCCGGCUUACCAACCCGAUGCAAACUGCGAAUACCGGAGAAUGUUAUCACGGGAGACACACGGCGGGUGCUAACGUCCGUCGUGAAGAGGGAAACAACCCAGACCGCCAGCUAAGGUCCCAAAGUCAUGGUUAAGUGGGAAACGAUGUGGGAAGGCCCAGACAGCCAGGAUGUUGGCUUAGAAGCAGCCAUCAUUUAAAGAAAGCGUAAUAGCUCACUGGUCGAGUCGGCCUGCGCGGAAGAUGUAACGGGGCUAAACCAU